AAAAAUGUUUAUAGUUUGAUUAAUUUAUUUAAAGUUUAUUUUACAUAUAAAUUUUAGUGUUAAUUUUAAAUUUAUUUUAAUAAUAAAUUAAUUAAUUUAUAGUAAUUAAUAUUAAGUAUUUAAGAAAUUAAGAUUUAGUAAUAUUUAAAUUAAUAACAAAUUUUGUGCCAGCAGUUGCGGUUAAACAUAAAUUAAAUUAAAUUUUAUUAGUAAUUAAUAAAUAAAUUUAUUAAUAAUUUAAAAUUUAAAUUAUUAGGUGAAAUUUUAAUUUAAUAUAAUAUUAAUUGAAUUUUAUGAUUUAAUAAAUUUUAUUAAAAACUAGGAUUAGAUACCCUAUUAUGAAAAUUUUAAAUUUAAAUACUAAAAUAGUAAGUGAUUAUUCAUUGAAACUUAAAUAAUUUGGCGGUAUUUUAGUUCAUUUAGAGGAAUCUGUUUAAUAAUUGAUAAUCCACGAAUAAAUUUACUUAAUUUUUAAUUUUGUAUAUCGUUGUUAAAAAAAUAUUUUUUAAUAAAAAUAAUAUUUAAAAAUUUAUAUUUAUAAAUUAAAUCAGAUCAAGAUGCAGAUUAUAAUUAAGAAUAUAAUGGAUUACAAUAAAUUUAUUUAUAUGGACAUUAAUUUGAAAAAUUUAAUUAAAAGUGGAUUUAAAUGUAAUUUUAUUUAAUUUAAUAAAAUGAUUAUAAAUUGGAAUAUGUACAUAUUGCCCGUCGCUUUCAUAUGUUCAUAUUUAUAUUAUUUAAAUAUAAAUAAUAAAUUGAAAUAAGUCGUAACAAAGUAGAGAUACUGGAAAGUGUUUCUAGAAAGA
rnacentral:ncRNA from 1 species